rnacentral:rRNA from 1 species
AUACGUAGGUGGCAAGCGUUGUCCGGAAUUAUUGGGCGUAAAGCGCGCGCAGGUGGUUCCUUAAGUCUGAUGUGAAAGCCCCCGGCUCAACCGGGGAGGGUCAUUGGAAACUGGGGAACUUGAGUGCAGAAGAGGGUAGUGGAAUUCCAAGUGUAGCGGUGAAAUGCGUAGAGAUUUGGAGGAACACCAGUGGCGAAGGCGAGUGGCUGGUCUGUAACUGACACUGAGGCGCGAAAGCGUGGGGAGCAAACAGGAUUAGAUACCCUGGUAGUCCACGCCGUAAACGAUGAGUGCUAAGUGUUGGGGGGUUUCCGCCCCUCAGUGCUGCAGCUAACGCAUUAAGCACUCCGCCUGGGGAGUACGGUCGCAAGACUGAAACUCAAAGGAAUUGACGGGG